UUAGAACAUUUCCAACAGAUGAUAUAAAAUAUGGUUUGUGUCCAAAAACCGUUUUUAGGGCACGGGCAGCAAAAAAGGCUCUCGAACAAAUAAUCUAUAGGUAUCCUGUGUCCAAUAAUUUUAAGGCAUGCCCUAAAAUUUCAACCCAAAUGAUGUAUAUUUGGGGCACUGAACACAGCAUGCAAAAAAAACCAACCGCCCGGUUUCUUCGUCUCCCGAUGCGCGCCAUUUCCUUCCUCUUCUCCCGCCUGCUCCGUCUCCUUCCUCCUCGACCGCCGCCGGCCAUGGAAGCCGUCGCCCCAACUCCCCCGACCCCGCCUGGGCCCGCCGCCGCCGCCCCGCCCCGCCCUCGAGCACCACCGGCUCGCCCCCGACCUCCAUCGGCCCGCCCCCAACGUCCACCGCCUCCGCGAACGCGCACUGGGCUAGGUGGGCGCCGCCAUGCACGGCCCGUGCAGCUACCGGCGGCCGCACCGGCGUCGUCCGACUCCCCCGACCAUGCCUGGCCCCUCCGCCGCCGCCGCCCCGCCCCCGAGCACCACUGGCCCGCCCCCGACCGCCGCCGGCUCUCUUCCUCUCCGACCGCUACGCUCCGCCGCUCUUCCUCCUCGAUUCGUCGCCGGCGAAGACCACCCGCUACGACGACUAGAAGGAGGGCGGCUGCCGCAGCUCCGCCCCGCUGCCCCUCCACCCCGACGAGCUUCCCGUUGCUGCUGCCGGCCCCGCCUCCGCCCGCUUCCCCGACGCGCCCCGCCGCUGCUGCCCGCCCAGCCCUGCCUCUGCUGGUGCUCUCCCUGGAGGCUUGCUCGUUGGAUUUAGGGAGGAAGAAGACAUAGUUGUGUUUCUGACAGGGCACGAAAAACUGCACCUAUUUUACAUCAUCCGUUGGAGAUGCUCUUAAGGUCUUGAGUUCGAGGAUUGAUCUUAACAUGAUUUUUUCAAUGUAUAUUUUUAGCACAUGGGCAUAGAGACACAAUGUAAUGUUCUUACAAGAUGGCGCAUUGAAUGUAGAGACAAUAUAUAGUGUCUUUAUGAAAUA